rnacentral:rRNA from 1 species
AUUGAACGCUGGCGGAAUGCUUUACACAUGCAAGUCGAGCGGCAGCGCGGGGGCAACCCUGGCGGCGAGCGGCGAACGGGUGAGUAACACAUCGGAACGUACCCAGUUGUGGGGGAUAGCCCGGCGAAAGCCGGAUUAAUACCGCAUACGACCUGAGGGUGAAAGGGGGGGAUCGCAAGGCCUCUCGCAGUUGGAGCGGCCGAUGGCGGAUUAGCUAGUUGGUGAGGUAAAGGCUCACCAAGGCGACGAUCCGUAGCUGGUCUGAGAGGACGACCAGCCACACUGGAACUGAGACACGGUCCAGACUCCUACGGGAGGCAGCAGUGGGGAAUUUUGGACAAUGGGGGCAACCCUGAUCCGGCCAUUCCGCGUGAGUGAAGAAGGCCUUCGGGUUGUAAAGCUCUUUCGGCAGGAACGAAACGGUGGAGGCUAAUACCUUUCAUCAAUGACGGUACCUGAAGAAGAAGCACCGGCUAACUACGUGCCAGCCGCCGCAGUAA